rnacentral:tRNA from 1 species
GGCUCGGUAGCUUAGUUGGUUAAGUGCUCGUCUAUAGCAUUUAAAAGUGCUGGGUUCAAAUCCCAGCCGAGCAC